UCACCUUUAAUCCGCAUCAAAAUCUGUAAACUUUUCUAGUGGGUGUGUACCGGAGUAAAGUUCAAAUGCAGUUAUUGUCAGAUUAUUUCACUAUAAAGACCAACAAAUAAUUCGAUCAUCACUGCCAACAAGGUAAACAACACCAAGAGAAUAUGCAUUCAACGAGGCCACUAGCCGGAUCAAUCUCACAGGUCUAUCUAUCUAAAUCAUACGAAUGGAAACAAAACAACGCACACGAUCACACAAGAAAGUCGUGCUCCGGGACUAGUACUCAAACUCGAUCAUGACGAGCUCUAUAUGCCGCCGCGCCUGAUCAUGAGUCAUGACGGUCGAACAACACCGGACGAAGUGGAUCAGAAGCAGGCGUCGAGGAGGCAGCAGCAGCAGAGCGCCGCGCAGCUGCGACAACAGAAGAAGCAGACGAUCAUCAUCAGGUCGUUACAAAUGAGGCUACGGAGACAAGUGAGAACUCGGAACAUGGGAGAAAAAUCACCAUCCUUUCAAGAACCCAUCGCCGCCGUGGCCGUGCUCGCCGCGGCUGGUGGUGUCGCCGCCGGCCGGAGGGUACUGCUGGCCCUGCUGGUACGCAGCCGGCGGCGGCGCGACGUAGGCCUGCUGCUGGCCCGGCGGAGGGUACGCUGCUGCGGUGCCCGGCGGCGGGUAGCCUGCGUAACCAGAAGAAGCAAAAGAUUACUCAGGAUUCAACGAUCGAAAGAUCGAUGCCCCUCCAGAGAAAAAGGAAUUGGCACUUACCCUGCUGGUAGCUCAUGAUCGAGUUGCGGGAAGGGCUAGCAAAAACUCUGCAGAAACAAUGCUCUGUUCCUCUGAGUUCUGACGCUGUUAAUGUAUGUCAAUCAAGAACCAAAGAGGAGGAAGACGAAUCGGCUAGGACUGGACGUCUGGACAGAACGGGAUGGAGUGGAAACAGCAUCGUCGAGCGUCUACUUAUAUCCGGUCAGUUUGCUUAGAGCAUCUUCAACAGCCG
rnacentral:lncRNA from 1 species